AGUGAACGCUGGCGACGUGCCUAACACAUGCAAGUCGAACGAUGAUGGAGAGCUUGCUCUCCUGAUUAGUGGCGCACGGGUGAGUAUACCAUAGAUAAUGUACCCCUUAGUUCGGGAUAGCCACUGGAAACGGUGAUUAAUACCGGAUACUCCUUCUCAUUAUAAGAUGAGUCGGGAAAGUUUUUUCGCUAAGGGAUCAGUCUAUGUCCUAUCAGCUAGUUGGUGAGGUAAUGGCUCACCAAGGCUAUGACGGGUAUCUGGUUUGAGAGGAUGAUCAGACACACUGGAACUGAGACACGGUCCAGACUCCUACGGGAGGCAGCAGUGAGGAAUAUUGCACAAUGGAGGAAACUCUGAUGCAGCAACGCCGCGUGGAGGAUGACGCAUUUCGGUGUGUAAACUCCUUUUAAGAGGGAAGAUUAUGACGGUACCUCUUGAAUAAGCACCGGCUAACUCCGUGCCAGCAGCCGCCGUAAAAC
rnacentral:rRNA from 1 species